UUGGGAUCUGGGUUUAAGAGAUUUUUCCCCAACCGCGAAACCCCAAUUUCCGAUUUCACAGAUUCCCCGCGCCAGAGAGAGAUGAAACCAAUACCAUUACCGCCGGGUGAAGAAGUGGCGCCGAAGCUCACGCGACUCCUCUACUUCGUCGGCGCCGGAGUUGUUUGCACUGCCGUGAUUAACAAGUGGAAAGAAUAUGAGAAGAAAUCGAUGAUUCAGAAGGAGCAGCAAAUGAAUGAAUCGUCUCCAGAAAAUUCGCCGGCUGUGGUACAGAAGGCUGGUGAAUGAGAUUGAUUCAGUUUUGUUUUGAUUUUUAAUAAGCUGAAAUUUAUUAGAUUUGAUUCUGAGGCGAUUUAGUAGCUGAGAAAUUUUUUGCUUGGAUUGAUGAAACUAUUUGGGUGGAUUCUGCUGCUAUUUCUGUGCGUAUUGCGUAUUGAUAUCAAUUCUAAUGAUUCUGAGUUUUUGUUUUUGAGUUA